rnacentral:piRNA from 1 species
UCUGCUGCUUCUCAGAUUUAGGAGAUGCCU